rnacentral:lncRNA from 1 species
CUCCCAUCUCACAGUAGUGACCAUCUACUAUGGCACCAUAAUCUUUGCCUAUGUCCGACCUCCAGCUAAGUACAACUUCACAAUUGGCAAAGUAGUCUCAGUGUUCUACUGCAUGAUCACCCCUUUAGUUAACCCUCUCAUAUAUACCCUGAGAAACAAAGAUGUGAUGAAAGCUUUCCAGAAAUUUCUAUCCCAAAAGAAGUUUUUAAUGGGCAAAAACAUGCAUGGACUUUGAGAAAGCAACAAUUACUAAUUGGAGGUUAGUCUCAGGCCUCAUUUAAUCAUGUUUAUUUUACGAACAGAAGAGAUGGCAAGGAAGGGUAAAUCACAAAUAUCUUACUGGAUAAUCCAUGCUGCUGCAAAUAGAAAAGAAAGAAGGAAUGCAGAUGUCAUCACAGUUGGUGAUUAGCAGGCUAAAGAACUGAUGGUGCUUAUUGGUGAAAAAUACUUGGUAUACACUUGUCCUGAUAUUUUGAGGUAAAUUUUCUAAAUAUUUCUGUUAGAUUCUAUUGGUACCUAGUGUAAACACCUGCAACAUUUAAAUAUGAUUGGA